UCUGGUGUCAGCCGCCGCGGUAAUACCAGCUCUCCGAGUGGUGUGGAUGUUUAUUGGGCCUAAAGCAUCCGUAGCUGGCCAAGUUAGUCCCCUGUUAAAUCCACCGAAUUAAUCGUUGGAGUGCGGGGGAUACUGCUCGGCUAGGGGACGAGAGAGGCCGACGGUAUUUUCGGGGUAGGGGUGAAAUCCUAUAAUCCCGGGAAGACCACCAGUGGCGAAGGCUGUCGGCUAGAACGCGCCCGACGGUGAGGGAUGAAAGCUGGGGGAGCGAACCGGAUUAGAUACCCGGGUAGUCCCAGCUGUAAACGAUGCAGGCUAGGUGUUUGGGCGGCCACGGGCCGCUCUAGUGCCGCAGGGAAGCCGUUAA
rnacentral:rRNA from 1 species